rnacentral:rRNA from 1 species
UAAUACAUGCAAGUCGAACGCGCAGCGAAAGGUGCUUGCACCUUUCAAGCGAGUGGCGAACGGGUGAGUAACACGUGGAUAACCUGCCUCAAGGCUGGGGAUAACAUUUGGAAACAGAUGCUAAUACCGAAUAAAACUUAGUAUCGCAUGAUACAAAGUUGAAAGGCGCUACGGCGUCACCUAGAGAUGGGUCCGCGGUGCAUUAGUUAGUUGGUGGGGUAAAGGCCUACCAAGACAAUGAUGCAUAGCCGAGUUGAGAGACUGAUCGGCCACAUUGGGACUGAGACACGGCCCAAACUCCUACGGGAGGCUGCAGUAGGGAAUCUUCCACAAUGGGCGAAAGCCUGAUGGAGCAACGCCGCGUGUGUGAUGAAGGCUUUAGGGUCGUAAAGCACUGUUGUAUGGGAAGAAAUGCUAGAAUAGGGAAUGAUUCUAGUUCGACGGUACCAUACCAGAAAGGGACGGCUAAAUACGUGCCAGCAGCCGCGGUAAUACGUAUGUCCCGAGCGUUAUCCGGAUUUAUUGGGCGUAAAGCGAGCGCAGACGGUUGAUUAAGUCUGAUGUGAAAGCCCGGAGCUCAACUCCGGAAUGGCAUUGGAAACUGGUUAACUUGAGUGUUGUAGAGGUAAGUGGAACUCCAUGUGUAGCGGUGGAAUGCGUAGAUAUAUGGAAGAACACCAGUGGCGAAGGCGGCUUACUGGACAACAACUGACGUUGAGGCUCGAAAGUGUGGGUAGCAAACAGGAUUAGAUAC